CGUGUCAAAGUAUAUCGUUUAACCAAUGACGGGCAGUGGGAUGAUCAGGGAACGGGCCACAUAACAAUUGACUAUAUUGAGGGGUCAAGAGAAAUUGCUCUGGCUGUCGUGGAUGAGGUGGAUAAUGACACACUACUACUUCACCAUCUUACUUCAGAUAAUAUCUACAAGAGACAAGAACAAACACUUAUCUCAUUGAAGGAUCCUGAAAAAGCACUAGAUUUACUGCUGAGCUUUCAAGAAGCUAAAGGAUGCUUACAUAUAUGGCAGAGCUUAACUUCCUUACAGCAAAAGCUACAGUCUGGUGACCCUGGCUGUGAGUUUGCUAAACAUACUGUGUAUUUUUUUAAUCUUCUGUUCCCUAGUGUGCUCUUUUUUUUCCAAGUUUUUCCAUGUCCAACAUUUGAAUUGUUAGAAGUUUCUAGUGGUUCAUUGUGACAUGGUACCGAAGUUUGGUAACUAGUUGUGGGCGGAUCUAGAACCUUCUCAUGCCUUGGGCCGAGCCUACUUAUUUUCGCUCUUUCCUUUCAUCUUGAUCAUUUCGGGCUGGGAGCAAAUGGAGUUACAUGAGCCAUGCUUCGGGCCACGGCUUGGGUGGCCCAUGUUGUAGAUCCUCCCCUGCAUGUACUUGCACAUUGCUUUGCACUAAUUUCAGAUCAAAGUGAUUUAACAAUCCAUAUUUGUUUGCUUCAUUUGUUAUUAAUUUAUUUAAUGGCCUUGAUAAAGUUGUUUGAUUCUGAUCAGGAACAAUGCCCAAAGGUUCAAAUACAAAAUUCUGAUUAUCUGACAGUCGAUGCCUUAAUGUUCUUAAAUUCUUAUUCCUCUGUUUGGCUUUGUGAUGGUUUUAUCAAAAGUAUUUUGUUCCCAGCUGUAGAUCAAGCUAUUAGUUGGAAGUAUCUUUUCUGGAUCUGUAACUGCAAAAUUCUUUUUCUG